rnacentral:lncRNA from 1 species
GAAAGCUUUAUUUUUUUAUGAAGCCCAGGUGGUUGUGUGGUCUAGUGGGACGGCUACAGUGCAGGCAAUUAGGUGUCACGAUAUCUCAGUAGCAUGGGUUCGAAUCCCGGCGAGGGAAGAAAAAAAAAAUUUGCAAAAAUAAAUUUACAGAUCUAACAUUGUUGGGUUGAUGCUUAGACGAGUUGUAUAUAUAUAUUUAUAUAAACAUAUGAAAAAAGCAAUAACCACAAUUACUACUAAUAACAAAAACCUUGAAAUAUACUAUUAGGUACAACUUAGCUAGAAAAAGUAAACCUUGUACGAACAAGAGAUAUAAUAUGGUUGACAUGAAUGUAAACUGAAUAACUGAACAAAUGAAUAACUCGAUCAUGAACGACCUCGCCGGCCAGGAACAACCAAACAAACCCAAUAAUGGGAAACUGGAAACCUGGGUCCGACCCAAGGGUCCGGAAACAGUCAUAUAUGCUCCGACCCAAUGCGACAAGUCGUCUCACGAGACAUACUCGGACGUGUAUUGUUUUGAAAAAUAUAUAAAUGCAUGUAUCAAAGUAUAUUCAUAAUAUGAAUGGAACUUGAAUGUUGCCCUGUCUGCAGCGGGCUAGAAAGUGAUAAUCUCAGGGAAAAAAUUUCCCGUUAUAAUGUUAGUCAUGUGUCUUAUACCUACUGACGUGAACUUAAAAAAAUACUACGCUAGUACCCUAUAUACAAUAAUUUCUCCCUUUACUACGAAACGUGAGAAAUUAUACAUAUUCAGUAUGUUCUGUGGCUGACCAGGAAACCCUAUUUUAGGAAACCUGUGUCCUUUUGCCAAUGCUAGUGAAACUCUAUUGUUUGACCUCACUAGGUAAAUGAGAAAAAGAAAAAAUAAUUUUGUUUGUAAAUAUGUAAGUAAAAAAGAAAUCUUGUCAUUAGGACUACAGCUAUAAAAUAUUUGGUACAAAAAAGUCGAAAUACGAUUAUGUUUGUAUAUAUAAUAGCCAUUCCACCUACAUAAAAUUAAUCUAAUAUCAAAAUACAAAAUUAUGCAAAUCUUUGUUCUUUAAACAUCCCUAAAAAUACAAUGUUCAAAGUUCAAACUAGAACUAAAAUACAUAAAGAUGUCACUUUAAAAACAACCCAUAAAUAUUUUGGUACAUGCAAAAAUUCCUGUUAUACUUUUAUGCCUAGGAAAUUAUUAUACAUACAAUAUACAUGAAUACAACUCAUAAGCAUAAAAAUAUACACAUAAAGAAAAUCAUUAUAAUGAUAAUUAAUGAAAUAAUUGUUAACUGUGUUUAAAACGAGAUAAAAUCAAUGUAGUGGAAAAAUGUUGGAAACCUUUUUUGAAACUAUUUGCUUGGAAGAACUGUCUCAGGAGGUAUACUUUGGACAGUAUAAAAAAGGAGAACUAUUCAAAACAAAAUACACAAUCACAUGUAAAUAUAUAAGUUAGAGUAUAUAAAAAGAAACUCGACACUCUGGGUACAAAGUGAAGGUUUUCAAAAUAUUUCCAACCAUAAGUCUAUGAAACACAAGCAAAAUUUAAUUAUAAUGCAUCAUGCUACAAAAUACCUAAAUAACAGCUAAUCUGCUUCCACUAUAUUAAAAAUAAAUGGGGUCAAUGCCUCCAUAGGGACACAGAUGAUGACCCUGCUAGCAUAUAACGUUAUAAAGGGACAUAACUCAAGAACUGUAAAAGUGAAGCUGCCAAAAUUUGAACUUAAACUGAGUUUAGUGGUAAUAAGCAUUAUUGUAUAUACAUUUCAUUAAAUUUAGUUGAGACAAACUUAAAUUAAGAGAACAGAAACGAAAACAUUCAGGAAUUUUUCCAUAUGUAAAGGGGCAUAACCCUAGAAUGGUAAUCAAAGUGCUUGGAAGCACAGUGAAUGGUAAAGAUUGCUUUAAUUUACCUAUCUUUUUGGGGGGAGAUUUUGCAUUUACAAAAAUUGUAGACAGACGAACAAAGUGAAAACUGUAGGGCUCCCACAUUCUCACCAGGGAGUCCUUAUGAUGUCCGUUUUGAGAUAUUGAAAUUGUGAUGAUUUGUUUCUAUCAAAGUAAAAGAGUAUUUUAUAUCCAAACAAUAACUGAAAUAGCAAAACUUUUUGAAUUGUUUGUAAACACACCACUUUUAAUUGGCGGAGAAAACUAGUGUAUCUUUUUGGUUGGGGUUCAAUAGUGUAAAGAAAAGAAGUUCAAGCCUCAAAAGCCAACUUUCUGGAAAUCCAUUUUUUUAUACAUGACCCGAAGACUGAAAAUAAAAAUCCUGUUUUUGUCAAGUAAACAAAUACCAAUUCCUAGUAUGCAGCUAUAUACAUUGGAAAACUUUGAAUUCAUUCUUAAAAUUAUUAAUAUCUUUCACUGCUGGUACACUUUUUUUUCUUUUUCUUUUUCAAGAUUUUCUAAUC